AUGGACCUGGCCUCCGCGCGCAGCCUCAACGGCGUGGGCGGCGCCUUUCGCACGACAUUGCGAUGCAUCAAGCACUGGGCCAAGGCGCGUGGCGUCUACUCCAACGUGAUGGGGUUCCUGGGCGGCGUGGGCUGGGCGAUCCUGGUGGCGCGCGUGUGCCAGCUUUACCCCAACGCCUCGCCGAGCAUGCUGGUGCCGCGCUUCUUCAAGAUCUUCGCGCAGUGGAAGUGGCCCAACCCGGUGCUUCUACGGGACAUCGAGCACGACGACGGCGGCGAGCUCGCGCUCCGGCUGCCCGUCUGGCACCCGCGGCGGAACCCGCGCGACAAGAGCCACAUCAUGCCCGUCAUCACGCCGGCCUACCCUUGCAUGAACUCGUGCUACAACGUCUCGCACGCCACCCUGCGGACCAUCACGGAGCAGCUCCAGAUCGGCAACGGCAUCUGCCAGGAGAUCCUCAAGGCCGGCCCCGGCGGCGCCGGCGGGUGGGACGCGCUGUUCCAGCCGUUCCAGUUCUUCAAGGCGUACAAGAGCUACCUGCAGGUGGACGUGAAGGUCGCCGGAGGGGAGGCCGACCUCCGGGAGUGGAAGGGGUGGGUGGAGUCGCGGCUGAGGCAGCUGGUGAACAGGGUCGAGAUGGCCACGGCCGGCAUGCUGCUCUGCCAUCCCAACCCGAAAGCCUACGUCGCCAAGCCCCAUGAUCUGCACUGCACGUCAACCUUCUUCGUGGGCUUGUCCAAGCCGCAGCAGCAACAGCAGCAGCAGCCCCAGGUGCCGUUCGACCUACGCGCGACGACGGAGGGGUUCAAGCAGGAGGUGUACACGUACGAGUUCUGGGGGCCCGGGAUGGAGCUGGAGGUCUCGCACACCCGGAGGAAGGACCUGCCAUCCUACGUGCUGGAUCAGAUCCUGCCGGCUGGGCAUCUCAAGAGGAAGCGCGCCGCCGAGAGCAACUCUUCUCCUCCGUUGUCGUCUGCUUCCGGCGACGUCAAGAAGGUGGCGGCGGCAGGCGGAACCGGAUCGGCGCCUGAGAGGAAGAGGCAAUGCUGUCCCAGCAGCAAUAUCCUCCCCAGCGCUUCAGUACAGGGCGUUGUGUGA
rnacentral:rRNA from 1 species